ACUAUAAAUCAAACUUUGAACAAAGUCUUUUCUUCUGUCUUCAUUCCAGGAUCUCACUCAAAUCUGAUGCAGAAAAUAUGAAACUAAUCUGAGAGAAUAACUGAAGCAGUUUUCCUCCUGAAGCAUCACAAAGUUCAGAGUUCAUGUUUAGAGCAGAAGAUUCAGCAGCCGCUCUGUGACCUUUCAACUUUCUUCACUAAAACAGCUUCAUUACAGAGAAACAAGUCACAUUUUCUUCAUGUUCUUAAGUCCUUUCAGAUGUUUGUAAUGGUCCUUGAAUGCAGCAUCAGUGUUACAGGUUGUGACUCCUGUGAACAAACUGACACAGUGUGAUAUUACACAUAUUUAAAUCUGUCUUUACUGAUGAUGUUGAAGCUGCUGAAGGCUCAGUGAAGUUUUGUCUUCCUGCAGGUUAACAAGUGAAAUCUGAAAGUGAUGCACAACACAAGAGGGCGCCUUCAUCCUGCUAACAGGGAUGUAGAGGAGGUUAAAGCACCUCAGCUCAGUUUGUCCACAUGUUUUACAUUCUGCCAUGUUUUUAGGCUGAAUAAAGCCUUUAUCAUAAAGUGCAUUGUGUCAUAGAUCAUUUUGUGUUAUAAAAUGAUAAGAACUUUUAAAAAAUCUUUA